rnacentral:lncRNA from 1 species
UAAACAUUGCAUGUGGACAUUGCUUGUAAUUUCCUGUAUUAUUGUGGGAGAGUUUCUUUCUGACGUUUCAGUGUGAUAUAGUCUUUUAGAUACACUUUGUGCAAAAGAAGGAUUGUCUGAAAUUGAAGUUGUAUUUCAAGGAUUCCGUAAUCUAAGAAAAUGAAUGAUGGAAGAGAAGUGGAUAUCUUACAAUAUUAAAGAUGAUUUGUCUUAUCCAUUGUUUAGCUGACAUAUAUAAGGCCAAAAUACCCGUGAUGGCACGGCUUCGAUAUGAAGUUUCGUCAAAGAUUGGCUUGGUUGCUAUUAUUUUUGUACCUCUUCUUGUCUCUCCUGGUCGUUUAUUAUUGUUUUGAACUCAGCGAUCAAUAUAGUGCUUUGGCCCUGGAACAUUCAAAGCUGCAUCAUUCAUCAUUCGAUGAACAAAGUAAUGUUUCUUGGAUAGUAAAAAUGUGGACACACUUACCUGAUGUGCCAUUCUUCCUGUGGGUUUUUAUUUUUGCUAUUCCUUAUCUGCAAAUAUUUUUCUGUUUGUAUAUAUGUACAAAGCCAAAUCCUAAAGAUAUGAUUUCAUUUAUACCUUUCAUAUUUAAUUCUAAAAGACCUCUAAGAUAUGCAAUAUGUAACAUUUGUGCAAAGUUUAUAGGCUUUUGCAUACAGAUCUGCUGAAUUGUAGUACCAUCUGGUUUCAUAUUUUAUAAAUAUUAUUUUUAUUCUCAGGAAUGUAUUAUUCAUGCAUUUUGUAAAUGAAAUGGGAGCUAAUAUAUAUGUAUCCAUAUAUAAAUGCCGUUAUUUUCAUAUUUUCUUUAGCUUAUCGAGUAUUUUAAAAUCAGAUUUUAAUUAUACGUAAUCUAUCAAAAUGUUAUAAAUAUUUGUUGCAAAUUGUCUAGCACAUCCACCAUUAAAAUUCCAUUUUGAAAAAUUCGAAAUGAAUAUACUUAUGUUCUUGUCCAUCCAUACCUAUUGAUAGUGUGAAAAAAUUAUGAAUUCUCAAAAUUUUCUGCCUUAUUAUAUAUUUUAUAAUAGAUAAAUGGCUAAUUUUCUCUUCAUUUAAAUCUAAUAAUUUUUUGAAAAUGAAGAUUUUUAGAAAAUUGAAUAAUCAUAAUUGGUAUUAUGACAUAGGUCAUAAAAAUGGGAAUUUAAAAAAAAAUGUUUGCUAUGUCAAUUUGCAUCUAGCGGUUUUUCAUGGUUCACCAAAUAAAUUUGUUCUUAUUUUGUUAGUUGAGGCUAGAAAUAUGAGAAUUUUAAAAAAUUAUAUGUAUUGUGCAUAUGUAACUGUUGCCUAGCUUUCUUUAGAUCUGUGGCUGUAUUACAGAAACAGUAAGAUUCACUGAAUGAUAAAUUAUGAAAUAACUUUUGUCACCUAUGCAAAAUUAAUUUUUUUGUAUCUGUGAUAUUGAUACACACAUAUAUAGUAGUGACGUUUUUUAAAAAAGAUUACAUGCAUAUACAGUUAACUCCUUCUAAUAUGAUGACCUACGAUUUCAUGUAAUUUUGGUCUUUUUUAGUAAAUUAAACCAAAUCUAAAAAUAGUGAUUAAACCAAGUCUAAAAGUAGCGAUAAUUUUUAGAGCUGGUUGACAUGAAGUUCACUGUAUGUAUGCAAUUUUUUUUAACUUGAUGCAUUUAUAUAUACAUAAAAGUUAUGUUUAAACAUGUUAUAUACAAAUUAUGCUGCUACAUUUUGUGCUUGUAGUGUGAAAUACUGAUUUUUAUUAGUAAUUUACAUUUUGAAUUGUAUUCAUUAUGCCUGUACUUGAACUAUUCAUAAACUUUUUUAUUUGUGGAGCUAUUUUAGAAUUAAGUUCUAUGAUGGAGUUCCAUAGGCCCACUCUGUGUCUUAGUUCUUAAUGUCUAAAAGUAGUAUUAUCAGAAGGAAAAGACGAUAGAUAUUAGUAAUAUAAAGACAUAUCUAAACAAUUGCAUAAUAUCUGUCAUUCAAAUGAUUUCAAAAACUUAGAAAUUUACCAUACUAUUUAAUUUUAUUCUCAACUAGCAUCAGUUCCCAUAGUAUUUUCAAAAUUUGCCAUACAAAUUUUAUUUUGAAUUUCAACAAAUGAAAUGUUUGUUGGCAAGAGUAAAAAAAAAUGCCUAGAGUAAACACAGUUUCUUCAAUUUAAUCAUUAAGUCCAACUCAAUUAAUUACAUAUUCUUUCAUUAUUUGUUAUGCAAAAUUUUUGGUCAUUCAUAACAGAAAACAAUUUUAAUUUAAUUUUAUUACAGUACACUGUAAUAGGCUUGUAUUAAGACAUAACAUAAAAUAAUGUAAAAAUGUUUAAUGAGAUAUAUGUGGUUGCAAUUUUUGGCACAGUUUUCUUAUUUCAGUCGAUGAUAAUUGCUGGUGAAUGUCUGGUUCUACAUUUAAAUGCUUCUGCAUUUUGUUUUAGUACAUAGUGGAAAAUCUUGCUUACAGAGAAAUGUAACUCAGAGAGGCAGCAAUACUAAUUUUGCAUUCUCAAACAAGAAUUCAUCUUGUAAAUGCAACCAAAACACUGGGUUGACUUUGAUUCACAAUUUUUAGUACUCUGAGAGAUGUUAGAUCUGUAAUGAUGCGAUAGUUUGCUGAGAUUAAACUGGGUAGUUUUUGGUUCAUGCUGACCUCAUUCAGAACCCAUUUAAAAAGUCAUCAAAUAUUUUGUCUUCAGCUGUUGGAAAAUAACACUCAAACAAGUCUUUCAAAGCUUUGAGAAUGUGUAAAUAUAUUUUUAAAACCUUUUUCUUGAAUUUUGAUGUUAUUUUCAUUCAACAGACUUUCUGUAAUGGGAUGCAGUUGAUGUCAUCUUUACCAUGCACUACAGUCAGCACAUAAGUUUCUUCCUAAAAGAAGAUACUUGGACAUUUGCAUUGAGAUCAAUUUUUUUAUCAUUCUGCUGAAAAUAUUGGCCAAAUAAUGCCAUUUACAUGCCCAGGUUUCAUCAUUUUAAACUGUUACCAUUAGAGAGCUAUGUCCAUCAAAAAUGCUGCUUGCUACUUCUGCAUGCAGUUUUACCAAGACUUUACUUCAGUGUGUAACAGGAGGGUCUCAUGGUGGCUUUUUAUAUCUUCACACAUUGGUUUGAAAAGUCUGCUUUUAAGAAGACAAGAUUUUAUAUAGUUUAUUACUUUUAUAGCAUCAUUUAACACAAGCAUAAGCUCAGAAAGUAUCUUUUUCAAGGCUAGUGCAUGUCUGUGAAGAAUGCAAUGACUGCUGUUACAUUUUUUAAUUUAAUUUUAGCAAUGGCUCCAGUACUGUGAGCAUUGUGACCCAUCAUCAUCAUCAUCAAUACAUGUAAAUGCAGAGUUUUCGUAUGAUAUUUCAUUUGUUGAGAAAAAUUUAUCCAAAAGAUUAAAUAUCCCACCUCCUGAUAGUAGUUGCAAAGUAAUCUGCAAAGAAGCUACUGUUAUAGAGUAAAGUAACAAAUACCAUUAAAACUACUAACUCAGCAAUUCCAGUCAAUUAAUCCAUUAGCAAGCCAAAUUUUCGUACAUCUGAUGGGACUGAUAAGUGUUUCUUUCACAUCAUUAGCCAUAUUGCUAAAUUGUUGAACAAAGGUGUUAUCUGACAACCAUCAGUGGAAUAUGGUACAAAUUAACUAGCCAUAUUAUGAAUGUAUAUUCUGAAUUUAUCAAUGUUAAUUUUGUAACUGCUUAAUACAAAUAUUACAAAUUACCUACAUAUUUUACAUCAAAUUAACAUAUAAUUUUAGGGUAAGGGGGAAAAAGAUCUUGUUAUAUUUCUACCAAAAUCGUGCCUAGGUUUAUCCAUGAUUGAUCAAAAUUUUUCUCUAAAUAGCUCUUGAGUGAUUUUUUUUUUAAACCAUCACCUUGGGCUUGUUAAUUUUUUAUGAGAAAUAUGGCAACAAGCUUGCAGGCAUUUGAAAAAUGUGCUCAUCUGUAUAACACUAAUAUUCCAAAUUUUGAGCUUUCAAACUUUAUACCUUUGUUUAUUAUUCUUUGUCAGUAGAAUUAAACUCUUAGUUUUGUGUCACAAAUAUAUUGUUGUAUAGAUAAAGUAUCAGUGAUCGAGUUACAUACUUGCUCAAUCUCUGACUUAAAUUGAUGAGUCAUGAUUUAAAAUACUGCUAUGCAGAUGUUUUAUUUCUGUACUUACUCUGUUUUUUCUUUCCAAAGAAAUUUCUUAUGAUUCUUUAAAUGAACUUUGUUAUUAACAGUCCCUUGAACCAAAUUAUUUUAGAAUUACUGCUUUGAGAGUCGUAAACUAAAUGAAGGAGCACAAUAGAUAUGUAGAUAUAGCUAAGUCAAUAGCUUUAGAUCCAUGUUUGUAAAAAUUAUGACUUAAAGAGACAUCCGAAUCCCCACUUUAUCUUUGGAAAUUAUUUCAAUUCUUUUUUGGAUAAGUGAAAUUACAACACUUUCCUGCACAAUAAUGAAACACUCAUCAUCAUGAUGAAAGAUUUUAAAUGCCUUUUUUCUGCUGCACUAUAUGAAUUUUUGUUUCAUUAUUAUUUAAGGCAUGUGUUCAUAAGCUAGACAAAAAGAUAAAAAGUAACUUUUAUCCCUCAAAAAAAACUUACUAAUCUCUGUUCUAUAAAAAAAUAAUAUUUGAGAGUGAAUGCCGUGUUAGUUUAAAACUGUAAUAUUCUACUAAGUUUUACAAAAUUUUCUUUCAUUUAAAUAAACUGAUUAGAAAUAAAAUUAUGAUCCAAAAAUAAUUCAAGUAAAUUUUGAGUUUAUUUUUUGUAUAAAUAUAUUAAUGUGGGUGAAGUAUAUGUAGAAAUAUCUGAAAUAGAGUUGGUAAAAAUUUUUGAUCUUUAUACUCUUUUGUAUCAAACUUUUGUUUUAAAAUAUGACAUAUAAUCUAAGAUGUUUAGUCAAGUCAGUUAAAUUUUAAUAUUGUUUGUCAUUUCUCUAAAGUUUAAGUCAAAAUAUUAUGUUUGUAAUGUGUAUGACUAUUAUAACAUACAGGGGUUGGACAAAAAUAUGGAAACACCUUUAAAAAAACAUGUUUCUUUGCUUAAUGUGGUGUAGGAAACCCGUUGGCAUCCAAAACAGCUUGCAGUCUUCUCGGAAUGGAUAAAUACAG